rnacentral:rRNA from 1 species
CAGAGGGUGCGAGCGUUAAUCGGAAUUACUGGGCGUAAAGCGCGCGUAGGCGGCUUUGCAAGUCGGGUGUGAAAUCCCCAGGCUUAACCUGGGAACUGCAUUCGAGACUGCAUUGCUAGAGUAUGGGAGAGGGAAGUGGAAUUUCCGGUGUAGCGGUGAAAUGCGUAGAUAUCGGAAGGGGCAUCAGUGGCGAAAGCGACUUCCUGGACCAAUACUGACGCUCAUGUGCGAAAGCGUGGGGAGCAAACAGGAUUAGAUACCCUGGUAGUCCACGCCAUAAACGAUGACAACUGGAUGUCGGGAGGGUCUGCCUCUCGGUGUCGUAGCUAACGCGUUAAGUUGUCCGCCUGGGGAGUACGGCCGCAAGGUUG